UUGGAGGGCAGUCUGGUGCAGCAGUCGCGGUAAUUCCAGCUCCAAUAGCGUAUAUUAAAGUUGUUGCAGUUAAAAAGCUCGUAGUUGAGUUUCGGGAUUAGUACGCUGGUCGUGCCUUCGGUACGUACUGGUGUUACUGAUUUCUACCUUCUGACGAACCAUCAUGUCAUUAAUUUGGUGUGGUGGGGAAUCAGGACUGUUACUUUGAAAAAAUUAGAGUGUUUAAAGCAGGCUCGCGCUUGAAUACAUUAGCAUGGAAUAAUGAAAUAGGACGUUGAUCCUAUUUUGUUGGUUUCUAGGAUUGACGUAAUGAUUAAUAGGGAUAGUUGGGGGCAUUAGUAUUCAAUUGUCAGAGGUGAAAUUCUUGGAUUUAUUGAAGACUAACUACUGCGAAAGCAUUUGCCAAGGAUGUUUUCAUUAAUCAAGAACGAAAGUUAGGGGAUCGAAGACGAUCAGAUACCGUCGUAGUCUUAACCAUAAACUAUGCCGACUAGGGAUCGGAUGAUGUUAUUUUUAAUGACUCAUUCGGCGCCUUACGGGAAAC
rnacentral:rRNA from 1 species